GAGUGAAAUAAACUAAAAGGUCUUUAUGAAAUCUUAGUGUGUCGAUAAAUGACCAAAGGAACAAUAAUUGGGUUAAUGUCAUAUCACAGGAAUACAAAGAACGUUAUUUUUUUUUUUGUGUAGAGAAGUAUUGAAAAAUUAAAAUUCAUUUGUCCAAUUUUAUAACCUAGCAUUAAAAAAUGUCUUUCUUAGAAAAAUGACGAGGAUAUUAUAGGCACCCUUGAUAGGCACUGGCGUUAUUGUCUGGACUUUACCAAUGUUUUUUACUCCUGUACUUGGCGUGUUCUCGCUCAACACCAUGGCAAUUGGUUCAGACUUCAGGUAGCAUUGUUUAGCGGAGUGGUGAACUAAUAAUGCAUUGACAGCAUUUGGCUUGAUUCCACCAAUAAUUGUAUCUUGAAAAGUAAAACAGUCUAGAUGAAAUACAUGAAAAUUCCAAGUGUCGGGUAUAGGCGUUGCUGGACAUUGUUAUGAGUAGAACCAAACGAUUUUUACGAAUUAUAAUAUAGAUGAAAACGGGCGAUUGUGAGGAAGUAUUGACGUGAUGGAAUUCUUUGUUGUUAAUGAUGCGCCUCUACUGCAUCAUCUGUUUGUGUGUUGUUGAUAGCAGAAGCUGUUGCCUCCGAGGCUCCUGUCUGUAGGAGGUGUCAAUCACACCCACCCGGCGGUGCCGCGGUACUAGUCAUGUAUAACACCAUGGGAAUCUGGUAACUGUGUGAUCACCAUUUCUAACUUUAGUAAUAUGGUGCUAUUAUCUUCAAGAAACGUGCAUACAGAGUCCCUAUAGCCUCCCCUGGAGGCUCACAAUGGUCAUGUGUGGUAGUUGGCGUCGAAUGUGGCUGGGGAGGACAAUGUCCUUACCCUUCUUCGUUUUCCUCUGUCAACCUAUUCUGUCCACUGCCAAUUACCCGUCAGACCAGAAACUAAGUGCCGAAGGAGGGACGGUGCUACGUGAGGUGCUGGCAGGACGGCAGGUGUACGUUUACCGCUCCUAUAAGGAUGUUCAGAUCUUCCACUUCUCAGUUCCUCAACAUGUGUCUACAGCUCUAUAUAAUUUCACUGCCAAUGACACCCUGGCCUGUGAUCCUCGCAGCAUUACUGUUUAUCUACAAGCCCAGAGCUACCCAGUAGUCAAUCCUGAUGGUGCAGAAUUUCCACCUGGACUGUGGGUGAAUCGCUCUCAGGUGUAUGAGGUGCAUCUGCGUUCAGAUUUGAAACCCUCUUAUCUAUCCGUCCCAUACCCGGUGACUGGUGAUUGGUUUAUGGUUGCAUUUAUCAAUGAAACGUCCAACCGAAUCACACAAGCAGGUCUGUUUCCAUCAUGUCACUCAUGGCUGCAGGCAGAAGUAACUUACAGACAAGAAAAUGACAUUGUCACUGUUGUGCCUGAAAUACAUUCCCACCAAGAGAUACAACUCUACCAGAAAGUUGAAGGUUCUCAGUAUUAUAGAUUCUACGUACCAUCAUCAACAUGGUUGGUGUUUGUGAAUAUCAGUAAUUGUGUGGUUCUUGAGGAUGAAAAUAUGCCUUCAUGCCCUGUAAAUAUUUCCUUUAGAGCACGAGCACUGCCAAGCCCCAAUUCCACAGAUACAGUGAUUCACAAAUGUGAUGAGGAAGGUGUUGGUGAUGUAUGCACAAUGCAAGUAGUACCGGAGGAGGAAACAUGGCAUUAUGUAAGGCUUACGACACCACCUGGCACAUCUGUUCAACUCAGCAUGGCUGUUAAAUUUUACUUAUGUGAUGACACAGGAGGAAGCAGUUAUCAUCUCCUAAGUAAGCUGAACCUAAACCAGUUGUGUCCAGAGGAAAGAUAUAGUACUCCAAUCUCUUCAUAUUUCAACUACCCAUCAAAUAACACAGAUGAGAUAAGCAAUGGAACAGUCACCACUAAAGAGCAAGUACAGUCACGUCGCAUCCUCUUCAUGCCUGCUAUGAAUACCAAGCAGCUGACUGAGGAGAACUGUUGGCCAAGGCACAGACUUGUCAAAAAAACAUUUGGAGGAAACUUUGUGUUUGAGUAUGACUUGCCACCUGAUGAGAAUGACUCUGUACCUCUUCUCUUAAACAUUACCAAUGCUUCCCCAACACUGCUUACAUUUAACCUUGAGCCCAUUAUUGACAUAGGAGGAACAGUUUCAGUGGAACUGGCUAUUUCUCCAUUUAUGAACAUAAGUAAGCACAAUUUUAGUGUAGCUGGAUGUGUUUCCCUUGGAAUACGUGAAGAAGCAGAUGUGAAUGGUGAAUGUUCCCAAGGCUACAGUCUCCUAGUCAAUACUUCCAGUCUAAAUGAUGCUGCUGCUUUGGUGUUAAUACCAUUCCCAGAGCCUGGGCCUUGGUUCCUUACUCUCAGCCCAGGAUGUUAUCUAAGCAAUGCCAGUGAAGUUGUGGGGUGUAGUGUGAAUGUGACGACAGUGAUUUUUGGUGUGACGUCAGCAUCAUGUUUACAAGGAAAAUGUGGGAGAUAUGGCUCUUGCUACCAGUAUAUAUCUGGUGGCUUCAUAUUCUCCACGUGUGUUUGUGAUGCAGGUUAUCGUGGUUGGGGAUGUACGGACAGUUCUGAGGCCACACCCAACUGGAAACUUCUGCUUGCCACCCUGUUACUCACACUAUCAAAUCUCUUCUUCCUGCCAGCCAUCUUCCUUGCCCUUAAACGUCGAUAUUUUGCUGAGGCCAUUGUUUAUGCAUUCACCAUGGUUUUUUCUACGUUCUACCACGCAUGUGACCAGGAAGCAUACAACUUCUGUCUCAUGCGACUCAGUGUCAUGCAGUUUUGUGACUUCUACUCAGCCAUAUUCUCGUUCUGGGUUACUCUCAUCGCUAUGGCAGACCUCCCACACUCUCUCUACUCUUUGCUGCAUGUUGCUGGUGCGCUGAUUGUUGCAUUGGGGGUUGAGUAUGACCGCACUGGGCUGUGGGUAUUUGUAGUGCCAUCUGCCUCUGCUUUUGUCAUCAUGGCAUCAUCUUGGGUUUGGCAUUGUAAACAUCAAAGAGGAUGCUACCCCAGCAGGCACUACUGGCUGACUUGUCUCCUCCCGGGAGUGCUGUUGGCUGCCUCAGGGCUCAUCUGCUAUGCGUUCUUUGAAACCCAUGACAACUACUACUAUGUGCACUCUGUGUGGCAUGCCACUAUGGCCCUGGCUAUACUGUGCCUCCUGCCACCUCGCAGGGAGAAAGAUGGAUGUGACGUAGGUUUACGAUUGUAUGGCCCGACACUUAUAGCGGGGAGCAUUUAGUGUUACUCCUGUUCAUCCAAAUGAAAUGUCCUUUCCAUUCAUUCAUCCGAGAAAAGCUGCACAAAUGGAAGCAUCUUCUCAGAGACCCAUCCUUCUUCCCAGCCUGACCUGAGGGCCUACAGGUCAACUGAAACUGAGCAUGACCCUCUUCCUAGUCUUCAGAUGUCCUCACCCUGAUUGGUAGAUGUCAUCAUUAUCACCCUUUAUCCUGACAAACAUUAUUUUAUUCUUGUUUUACAUAAUCUUUCAAACCAACACCUUUCUGUUUAACCUGCCAUAUUACUUAUCUCUGCUAAAUAUCCAGGUACUAACCUAGCCAAACUAAUCCAUCACUAACAAAGCUGCAUUGAAACUUUUGGUAGAAACUGAACCGCACUGUUAACUGUCUGGUGAGACUACAUCCCAUCCUGGUAAUGGCUCCCUUUUCCCCUCAGAGAAAUUAGAUAAUAUACAGAGUAUCCUAGUGAUUUACACACACGAGCAAUUAUUUUUUUAACAUGACUAAAAUUACAUUUCCCUGACUUCUACACUAAAGACACUCAUAGUUUUGUAUUUACAUGUUUGACUUUGAUGACUUUAUCCCACUAUUUUAUUUUUUUAUCUGCAUUAUCAAUAUUAAUUAUUUUUUUAGACAGCCUAUACCGGGUAGUUGUUAGUAUUCAAGGUUGACUGAAAGCAAGAUUUUCAAGUGUUUCUAUAAACAGUGACACGAGUUUGGCAGCAUUCAUGAGUGGUCAGAUUGGUAGCACUGUACUGUAUCUUUAGAGACUAUAAACUUGUUUUGUUUCAUAUAUUAAAUAUUAUACUAGUACGAUAUAACUUAUAUUGGAAGAGAUAAAUCUAUUUAUUUCAAAUCUAUAUCAUGUAUUUCUAAUUCAUGUUUUAAGUAAAUAUAUGUUUUCAAACUGUAUAGCACAUAAGACUCAUGGAUUUCCAUAUCUCUCGUCUUCCUGCUCCCUCAUGUGCUAUUAGAGAUUUUGUCUAGCAAGAAGAGUGUGAGAGAAGAGAGCUGAUGCAUGGUUGUUUAGAACUGUGAAUGGAAUGCAUGAUGGAUGUGAUGAUCUAUUUUGAGCUAUAGAAAAUAUUUUUAAGAAAUUUUCCUUUUUUGAAACUCAGGGAAAAAUUAACAACAAUGAGAGACUGUUCUUUGGUGAGUCUAAUUGUGUGAACUCGGUAAAAACGUUUGUAGUAUCCUCUUCAUGGAUGAAUGAUUGUAUUGAUGAACUUGGUAAAGAGUAUAUAUUUUGAGUGUAUUAAAAGAUCCAACUAGGUGAUUCCAUCACACAUUUCUCUUGUCCAUUUUUGGCCUUAAUAGUGUUCAAUGAACAUUCCAUCCACAGGCAUGCACAACUGUACUAGUCAAUAAUUAUGUCUAAUGCUGACCUACAAUAUUGUUAAUAUUUGUAGGGCUCUAAUUUUAAGCAAUUACCUGACAAAGGAAAGAAUAUAAUUAAUUGUCCUUUGUUUAUCACCAAUGGUUAAUGUUUGUUUUCAGUGUUUGUAGGUGUCCACUAGUUUUGAACAUUAAUAGUAUAAUCUUUUAAAUGUUCAAAAAAACUUGUGAUAAAUACAUGGCAAAAU
rnacentral:misc_RNA from 1 species